UAAACAGUACUAUACAUUGAGCGAAAGUGUCACCACAUCUCCAUUGCUAUCCACAUAUACAUACACUUUUUGUGUUAACUAGUCUCCAAGAACAUAGGGUAAAAUAACCUCAGCAUACAUGCAGUAAGCAGAUGUUGAUCACUUGGUUGGGGAUGGGUGGCACCAGGGAAACUAUGCAUACUCAUUUGAUCCCUCAGGGAGGCCAACAAUAAAGUGCUAGUUGUGAUGUCUUUUGAUAUCCACCAUCCACACAGGAGAUGUGCUAUGGGAGGGGGAGGAGUCACAGCAAACAACAAUGAUUAAGGGAAAUAAGUGUAAGCUCAACUGGUGCUGCAACUUAAAUGUAAACUACCGUUCCUUGUAUCUCGUGUUGGAUAGACCACCAAGGGAGUUGAACUGUGUGAGUGAUGUAUAGUGUAAUUAUUUCCAUAGCAUCCAAAUACGCUCUGGGAGGAACAUAAAGAGCAUGAUGUCAGAUCCUUUCAAAAAAAAAAAGACAUGCUCAUAUAUAAUCCUCACUUUUAGAUAGGAAGGCACUUCUAUCCUUUGCAACGAGAUCGUCGAAGUGAAGCAUACUUUUUACGAAAAUUCAGUUAAGGCUCUGAGCAUAGGACAUGAACAUGCAAAUAGGGCUUUAGAUUUUUACCCAGUUUAUUGCACUAUAUGGGGACUGCAAUAGUGAUUGAUCAGCCAAUUAUAUUU
rnacentral:lncRNA from 1 species